rnacentral:rRNA from 1 species
AUUGAACGCUGGCGGCAGGCCUAACACAUGCAAGUCGAGCGGGGCGGCGGACGGGUGAGUAAGGCCUAGGAAUGUGACUGGUAGUGGGGGAUGACGUCCGGAAACGGGCGCUAAUACCGCAUCCUAUCAGAUGAGCAUAGGUCGGAUUAGCUAGUUGGUGGGGUAAAGGCCUACCAAGGCGACGAUCCGUAGCUGGUCUGAGAGGAUGAGCAGUCACACUGGAACUGAGACACGGUCCAGACUCCUACGGGAGGCAGCAGUGGGGAAUAUUGGACAAUGGGCGCAAGCCUGAUCCAGCCAUGCCGCGUGUGUGAAGAAGGUCUUCGGAUUGUAAAGCACUUUCAGUUGGGAGGCGUUACCAACAGAAUAAGCACCGGCUAACUUCGUGCCAGCAGCCGCGGUAAUUC